AUCACAGGUCCUGUACCUUCUCCUGCAGCACAGCCUGGAGCCCGACUCCUGUACAUGGUGGUGGGAAUUACAGCUCAGGAGGCUCCAUAGUGAAGGACACGCCCGCCCCCAGAGGGACCUGCAACCAGCUGACAUCCAUGCCUUCCAUGUGACUACAGCUAAGAACUCAUCACAACCCAAAGGACUCCUAUACCUGGUUCCUACAAUAUAGGAUCGCUCAGUGGAGAUCUUCUAUAUAAGAUCCUUCUCCUGAUUGACCCUACAAGAAUGGACAGGGGCAAGAUGGCGGAGAGGAUAAUAAAUCUCACCCUAGAGAUCCUCUUCCGGCUUACUGGAGAGGACUACACAGUAGUGAAGAAGACCUCUAGUGAGCGCUGUCAGGACCCUGUGUCUGAAGG